rnacentral:rRNA from 1 species
UACAGAGGGUGCGAGCGUUAAUCGGAAUUACUGGGCGUAAAGAGUGUGUAGGCGGUGCUCUAAGUCUGUUGUGAAAUCUCCCGGCUUAACCGGGAGGGUGCGGCGGAAACUGGAGUGCUUGAGGGUGGGAGAGGUAAGCGGAAUUCCGUGGUGUAGCGGUGAAAUGCGUAGAUAUCCGGAGGAACACCUGUGGUGUAGACAGCUUACUGGACCACUUCUGACGCUGAGACACGAAAGCGUGGGUAGCAAACAGG